rnacentral:rRNA from 1 species
GAACGGGUGAGUACACGUGGGUGAUCUGCCCUGCACUUUGGGAUAAGCCUGGGAAACUGGGUCUAAUACCGAAUAGGACCACGCGCUUCAUGGUGUGUGGUGGAAAGCUUUUGCGGUGUGGGAUGNGNNNGCGGCCUAUCAGCUUGUUGGUGGGGUAAUGGCCUACCAAGGCGACGACGGGUAGCCGGCCUGAGAGGGUGACCGGCCACACUGGGACUGAGAUACGGCCCAGACUCCUACGGGAGGCAGCAGUGGGGAAUAUUGCACAAUGGGCGCAAGCCUGAUGCAGCGACGCCGCGUGAGGGAUGACGGCCUUCGGGUUGUAAACCUCUUUCAAUAGGGACGAAGCGCAAGUGACGGUACCUAUAGAAGAAGCACCGGCCAACUACGUGCCAGCAGCCGCGGUAAUACGUAGGGUGCGAGCGUUGUCCGGAAUUACUGGGCGUAAAGAGCUCGUAGGUGGUUUGUCGCGUUGUUCGUGAAAACUCACAGCUUAACUGUGGGCGUGCGGGCGAUACGGGCAGACUAGAGUACUGCAGGGGAGACUGGAAUUCCUGGUGUAGCGGUGGAAUGCGCAGAUAUCAGGGGGAACACCGGUGGCGAAGGCGGGUCUCUGGGCAGUAACUGACGCUGAGGAGCGAAAGCGUGGGGAGCGAACAGGAUUAGAUACCCUGGUAGUCCACGCCGUAAACGGUGGGUACUAGGUGUGGGUUCCUUCCUUGGGAUCCGUGCCGUAGCUAACGCAUUAAGUACCCCGCCUGGGGAGUACGGCCGCAAGGCUAAAACUCAAAGGAAUUGACGGGGGCCCGCACAAGCGGCGGAGCAUGUGGAUUAAUUCGAUGCAACGCGAAGAACCUUACCUGGGU